UGUAGUUAACAAUCAGUGAAGAAAAAUUUGUUUUUCAGUAACUAACAUGGAGGAACCAAGGAGAUUUAGUCUAAUUUAGAUAAAUUAUUUGACAAAAAAAUAGUCUUUUAUAUGAUUGAAGGCCUCAAUACAAAAGUCCUUGGGAAGAUGCAUGAAAUGAAAGAGUAUAUGUGGUCACCAUGUGGUGUCACCAUGUGGUCACCAUGUGGUCACCAUGUGGUCACCAUGCGGUCACCAUGUGGUCACCAUGCGGUCACCAUGCGGUCACCAUGUGGUCACCAUGUGGUCACCUAUGAUAGCGAUGCAGACGAAGACUGUAAAGAGGACAGGAAUGCAGGUGAUGGUCAGGGUCAGGCGGGGUGGGCAGGUGAGGAGCAACCUGGCCCAUGGGGAGGUCAUUUCUGUGGAGCAGAAGAGACAAGACAGGCAAGACAGAGGGAAUUAUCAGUCAUUUGUCUAGGUACUGAUAGAUUCAUUGCAGAACAAUAUCUGAAAACAUAAUCAAAGUGUAAGACAAAAUCUCAUCACUACGGAAAAUUGAACUAUAGUUUUGUGUGUGUGUGUGUGUACGGUAGGUAUAGUGGUUAACUGCAAAUAUUGCAAUGACUUUUCCUUAACAUUGUAAUCUAGGAUAGAGCUCCAUACUUAUAAGCCUCCUUGGUCGCUAAUAGACUGAUCAGGCUAAAAAGUCAUGACCCUAACCUGUGUCCUUCUCUGAUCCAUCUUUGGGGAGAGUGAGCCCCACCUCACAUUCUUCCAGAACUGAACCCUGCUCUGAGAGCUUCCGCUGUGGAGCCAGGCUUGGAGGCAAAGACACGCUUGCUGGUUGAUGAUCUUGUUCCUCUGACGUUGACGUUGGCUGGCUCUGAAUGGGCUGUUGCUCUUUUGUCUCUGAUAAUGUGUCGCAUGCGGGUGCAUGUAUUGCUGAGCUUGGUGGCUCUGCUGAAGCUAGUUUGGUGUCUGUUGUAAGCUGAAUUAUUUGAGUGUCUGCAUGUAGGUCACCAGCUGAAGGUAGUGGGGUGUUGUGUGCUGGCUGGUUGGUUGGGGGCCGUUGGGAACUGAGGGGCAGCUGUGUGCCUGUAAGGCAGAAGCAGUGUGUGGCGUCCUGGGUGUUUGCUGUUGGCUGUUGGGUUGAGGACAGGGUUCGUGCCAUGUGGGGCAUCAUGGCUGAUAGCGUGUAAGGGGCUAACUGAGACACCCCCAACAUCCGGGGCCUUGAUGGGGCUUCGGUGAUCUGGACGUUUGAGAGGGGGAUGAGUCCUGUCACACCUUGAUCCGUGAGCGGAAGGAUCAGCUGGAGAGUGGCUGGCUGAGAGGAGGAAGGGAACAGUGCUGGAGUCACUGAGGGAUGCUGGGAAAUGGAGUUUUGGGCCGAGAGGCAAAUGGCUGGCUGAGAGGAGGAAUGGAACAGUGCUGGAGUCACUGAGGGAUGCAUUUGGCUGAAAGGGAGACACUCCUGUGGAGAGACACCAGACUGUGGGACAAUAGUGCCCUCUGUUGGACUGGAGCAAGAAGUACCCUAUUGCACAGGUGCAUGACAUAAGAAGGGAAAAAACAUCGUUUGUAGGUACUGUAACUGUAUAUGGGCAUGGAAGCAGUUACUGUGCCAACCACAUCUCCCUGGCCAGAACACACAGCAGCUCUUACCUGAGACUGAGCCAUGAAGAGGGAGCGAGGGAGCGAGGGAGCCAGAGAGCGAGGGAGCCAGGGAGCCAGCGAGCGAGGGAGCCAGAGAGCGUGAACAUGCUUUCCUGCUCACCUGUACCUACCUACGUCCCUCCGUAAUUCAUCCGUUGUGUAAUUGUCUCCAUUGUCCCAACUGAGUCGCCCUCUCUUCUUCAGCUGCUGGUAAUCCCUCUAUUCUUGUGUUAUGAGGAUGGCGGGGAGGUCAGAUGCAAUCGAUACGCGACCUGGCAGGGGACCUCAUGAAAGAUGUAUGGUGGUGAUCGCACAGUUGGGUCAGAGUUUAACACGGCAGCAGUGGAGGAUUUUGAUGAAGGCCUUGCGGAACUCGAUGUUGAAGGUGGUGUAGAUGACGGGGUUGACAGCGCUGUUGAGGUAGCCCAGCCAGGUGACCACGCUGUACAGGGACGGCGAGAUGCAGCAGCUG